CAGUCGCCGCGGUAAUACGUAGGUCCCGAGCGUUGUCCGGAUUUAUUGGGCGUAAAGCGAGCGCAGGCGGUUAGAUAAGUCUGAAGUUAAAGGCUGUGGCUUAACCAUAGUACGCUUUGGAAACUGUUUAACUUGAGUGCAAGAGGGGAGAGUGGAAUUCCAUGUGUAGCGGUGAAAUGCGUAGAUAUAUGGAGGAACACCGGUGGCGAAAGCGGCUCUCUGGCUUGUAACUGACGCUGAGGCUCGAAAGCGUGGGGAGCGAACAGGAUUAGAUACCCCAGUAGUCCCUGUCUCUUAUACA
rnacentral:rRNA from 1 species